AGCCCGGGCUCCGGCACACUCCGGCCGCCCGCUUAUUUACGAUGCUUUAUCAACGGCUGUGCGCGGCGAUAAAGUUUAUGAAAAGAGGCGGCGUCUGCGGCCGGCCGGCGGCCCGCGCUCCUUUCCCACACUGAUUAGGAUCAGCCAGGGCUUUGGAAGCUGCAGUUAAGGAUCUCGGGUGCCCGGAGCCGCGUCUCCCCCUUCCUGCCCCGCCCGCCCGCCGGCUGCUGGCCCGCGUGGGAGCCGAGGAUCCUGUUAAUUCCGGAUUUGGAAAAAUAGACCUGGAAAGGAGGCGGGCACUCACCACUUCAUUAUCUUUGAAGAAAGGGUCACAGGAUUCUUCCCAUCUGAUCACAGUAGCAUUUACUGCUUAUUCUGUUCAUCUGUUACUAAAGAGAAGAGGAGGCUUUAGAGAAGUUAAACAAUGUGCUCAAGGUCAACCGCCAGGAAAGCAAGAGCACCAAAACUUGGACCUGGUUCUGCUGAAGCCAAAGUGCACGCUCCAGCCUACACCGCUCUGCUAGCCCGAGAAUGUCUGAGUCUGUCGCAGAGUAAUUGUGAAAGGCUGUGGGAAUUCCAGGACUAUCAAGGAAUGACAGUGGGUCCCGGGAAGAUGGAAGUGAACCAGGGCUCUCCUGCUCACCAACUCACUGUUUGAUGCUCUGAACAUUGAGUCUGUAUGUUUCUGGCUGCCAAACGAAGGACAAGCAGGAAGAGCGAGGGACCUGCCAAGAGAGAUGCUGUCGGAGGACUUCGUGAUAAUCCAGCCACCGUAUUCAGCCUCGCCCUCUCGAAGUGGUCCUGCAAGGGGGCUCACCGAAAUCAGUGCUCCUGAGAGCUGCAGACCUCUGUGUCAGGGUGCCCUCCACAGUGCGUGCCUUCAGCAGUGCCCUUGCUGGACCUCCUUAGCCUGUGAACUUCUGAACUCUACAUCUGCAGGUCUAAGAAUGUCCACUGAGGAGGGAACGCUUUGAACCGGGCAUCAAGCUCUGGGCCGGAUUCCAAGUCCGCUCUGAAAACAGUCGGAGCUACCCCCGGUCCCCUACUUGCUGGGCAGAAUGGCUGAGGGAGUGGCUCCCCACUUCUGCACGGUCCCCCGUGUGGUCAGCAUGGCCCCCCUGCUCCAAGCCAAGGCACCCACAAGGCAAGGUGCUUUCCUGAUGGCAGGACAUCCUCUCCCCACUCAGACCCCCAACAAUUUCUCCCCCGAGACACAAAGCAUCUUUAUUUUAAAGGCUCCACGUAGCAUGUCCAGAAAUUUCUCUUGUUAUUAAGGAGGGGGUGGGGUGGGGAAAGGGCCGAUGAAGCUACUUACUUAAUAGCUCCUAACAGCUGUGGAAAGUUUGAUGCAGCAGGAGCACCCAGACAGAAAAUUAAAAAACUAAUAAAGUCCUCAGUGUGGGGGCGCUGGCAUCAGGACAGCUUUACUUCUCCAGACACCUAAUAAAGAGACAUUCCGGGACACUCACUCACAAGGGGAGUCUGCAGGGGUCACGGAGAACAGUGGAAAGCGAGCCAUGGAAACAUAGCAGUCACUCACAUCGCUGCAGGGAAGGUGCUGUCUUGGGAUAGCAUAUUGUGCCAGAUGUAUAAUGAUGGGUCUACAUCAGUCAUGGCAUAUCUCAGCUCCCUUGGCCACUGAUCAAUCUGAAGGUGGGCAGGUGCCCCACAGUGUCUAAAGAGCUGCGGGGAUGAAUUGGCUGAGAAAGACUCACAAGGAGAAGGGCUUCUGCCCCUUGCCUGUUCUUCCUGAAUGUGUACAUGUUGCGGAAGCUACGGUAGUCAUCUUGUGGCUAAGAGAUGACAGGCAUGAGGAGGAGAACCAACGUGGCAAGGAUGUUAAGAUAGAAAUACAGAAAGAACCUGGAUCUCCUAAGGCAUCACUGAGGUUCACACCUUGAACCGCC